rnacentral:misc_RNA from 1 species
CGCACAUUGCGCCCUUUGGUAUUCCGAAGGGCAUGCCUGUUCGAGCGUCAUUUUCAACCAUCAAGCCCGGCUUGUAAUUGGGUCCCUUGUCGUUAAGACCGACAGGCCUGAAAGAUAAUGACGGCGUCAAGUUGGGCCCCCGGUGCAGCGAGCUUUUGAGCACACACCGGGUCGGUCCGCUUGACCCUGUUUGACCAAUUAUUCCAGGUUGACCUCGGAUCAGGUAGGAAUACCCGCUGAACUUAA